ensembl:misc_RNA 7SK 7SK RNA
AAUGUGAAUGUGAUCUGUGACAUCAUUCCAUUGGUCAUCAUGGUUGAUUCAGCUCCUUUGACUUACUGGAUGGUGUCCCUUUCCACCUUCACCAUUCUUACGUGUGUUCCUCCCAACAUUCCCAACUUGCUGGAAAAGAACAAACUUCUCAGGAAUGGAAAAUUAUUCUUUGGUGAAAGGGUAUGAAAAUAGUACCUAUAAAAAUUUUUUUUUUUUUUUUAUAGAACCCAUGAAAAAACCAAAAACCAAACCCAAUGCCGCCGAGUCGAUUCCGACUCAUAGC